CAGUAGCCGCGGGAAUACAGAGGAUGCAAGCGUUAUCCGGAAUUAUUGGGCGUAAAGGGCUCGCAGGCGGUUUCUUAAGUCUGAUGUGAAAGCCCCCGGCUCAACCGGGGAGGGUCAUUGGAAACUGGGAAACUUGAGUGCAGAAGAGGAGAGUGGAAUUCCGCGUGUAGCGGUGAAAUGCGUAGAGAUGUGGAGGAACACCAGUGGCGAAAGCACUCUGCUGGGCCGACACUGACACUGAGAGACGAAAGCUAGGGGAGCAAAUGGGAUUAGAUACCCGAGUAGUCCCUGUCUCUUAUAC
rnacentral:rRNA from 1 species